UUGGGUUUAUAUUACACAUUAUAAUGCUUCUUUUAUUUUUCCAGAAUUUUACAAUAAAAGUAAAUGAUAUAGAAAAAAACGUUAAAAUAAGAGUGAUAGAUGGGACCUCACGAACGAAUGGAGAUGAAAUAGCAUCAUCAUCAUCAUCAUCAUCAUCAUCAUCAUCAUCAUCAUCAUCAUCAUCAUCAUCAGGAUUAUACAUUGUGAGACGAAUCCCUCCUAAAUGGUCGCUGACGGAGGCACAAAAUAGUAAAGAGUUAUAUAUCGAACCACGAGAGCUUCGAGUUCGUCGGGAGACAACAUUGAUGUUUGAUGAACCGCAGGUGUGUGUGUGUGUGUGUGUGUGUGUGUGUGUGUGUGUGUGUGUGUGUGUGUGUGUGUGUGUGUGUUUGGUAUUUAAAUUAUUAAUUAUUUUAUAUAUUUUGGAUCCACAGAAACUACGAAUCGAAGAUCUCGAGGUAGUAGGUUUCAUAAAUAUACAAAAAAAAAUAAAAA